UACGUAGGGUGCGAGCGUUAAUCGGAAUUACUGGGCGUAAAGCGUGCGCAGGCGGUUCGUUAUGUCCGAUGUGAAAGCCCCGAGCUCAACUUGGGAAUGGCAUUGGAAACUGGCGGGCUGGAGUGUGGCAGAGGGGGGUGGAAUUCCACGUGUAGCAGUGAAAUGCGUAGAUAUCAGGAGGAACACCUGUGGCGAAAGCGGCUCACUGGACCAUAACUGACGCUGAGGCGCGAAAGCUAGGGGAGCAAACGGG
rnacentral:rRNA from 1 species